rfam:Oryza glaberrima chromosome 1 Oglab01_0192_9, whole genome shotgun sequence.
CCUAAGUGCAGUUGUGAGUUUUCGUGUCCAACGUUUGAUCAUUCUUCUUGGUUAAGAAAAUAUAUGAUUAGUAUUUUUAUUGUUAUUAUAUGAUAAAACUUGAAUAGUACUUUAUGUGUGACUACUUCUUUUUAAUUUUUUCAUAAAAUUUUUAAAUGAAAUGGACGGUCAAAUGUUGGACACGGAAACUCAUAACAACACUUAUA